rnacentral:misc_RNA from 1 species
GGAAGGUUAGGUAUGUAUUACUAUUCAGUUUUUCACUUAAUUUCCUGUUAUAAUACCUUUUUCUGUUUCAUUUUCAUCAGUAAUGAUACUUUUUCAUGUAGCUAGAUCAAAUACUAACGCGUGAAGAUCAGUAUGUAGCUAUUUUGAUUGAUGAGAGGUGGAUCAGGUUCAUCUUUUGCUUUAUAUUUGCAGGGAAUUCUAG